rnacentral:rRNA from 1 species
AACGAACGCUGGCGGCAAGCCUAACACAUGCAAGUCGAACGAGACCUUCGGGUCUAGUGGCGCACGGGUGCGUAACGCGUGGGAAUCUGCCCUUGGGUUCGGAAUAACAGUUAGAAAUGACUGCUAAUACCGGAUAAUGUCUUCGGACCAAAGAUUUAUCGCCCAGGGAUGAGCCCGCGUAGGAUUAGCUAGUUGGUGAGGUAAAGGCUCACCAAGGCGACGAUCCUUAGCUGGUCUGAGAGGAUGAUCAGCCACACUGGGACUGAGACACGGCCCAGACUCCUACGGGAGGCAGCAGUGGGGAAUAUUGGACAAUGGGCGAAAGCCUGAUCCAGCAAUGCCGCGUGAGUGAUGAAGGCCUUAGGGUUGUAAAGCUCUUUACCCGGGUAUGAUAAUGACAGUACCGGGAGAAUAAGCCCCGGCUAACUCCGUGCCAGCAGCCGCGGUAAU